rnacentral:tRNA from 1 species
GGCGGCGUGGCCGAGUGGUUUAGGCAGCGGCCUGCAAAGCCGCGUACACCGGUUCGAUUCCGGUCGCCGCCU